UUAGGGCUGGACAAGAACCCGUAAACCGGUCCAAACCGCAAAAACUGCAAAAAAAUAACCGCACUGAAUGGUUUCAAACGGGUCACCAGAUGAACGGGCCCAACAGUGCGGCCCCAGGCGGAUUGUAACAGGCGGGUUCGGUUUAUGGAAAACCACCGUCGGUGUCCGCAUCCGCCCGCACCAAAACUAAAAUUAUACGAUUAUUCAUAAUACACGGUCAUUUUAGCAGCACUACUAGGGUAUUCAGGGUAUUUAUUCUUUAUUCUCUCAAAUAAAGUUCCUUAACCAAAAAACCCUAGAACACUUCGUUAACGCCGCCGGUGAAGGAAACUAUGUGUCUGUGUUCAUCUUCUUGAUUCUUGGUCGUCCCUUCUUCUUCUUCUUCUACUUGCUUGGAAGGACCUCCUUCUUGUUUGCAAAGGUAAAUGUUUAAGUUAACGAUGUUGAUUUUAGCUUUUAUUAUUUAGAUUUUAAAUUUAUUUAGAGUUUUUACCAUUUUUGUAUUUUAUUUUGAUGUUCCAUUUCAUAUUUUUGAGUUGUUAAUUUUUAGGUUUGUUGAUUUAGAUUUCUAACAAAUUUUACUUUGUUUUUGAUUUACUUUUGCAUGUUCUUUGAUCUAUCUGUGAAUGUUUCAGACAGAGCAAAGGUUAGAUUUCUUGUUCAUGUUCUUUGGUUUAUCUUUGUAUGCUCCCCACCUUUUGAUUUAUCUCUAUUGAAAAUAAUUAUGAACCUAUGGAGUAUCAAAUUGGUGCUCCUGGUAAAUCCUACACAAAAUGAGCAGCAUAUAUGGCUAUAGAAAUCAGUACCGGUUACCAUGGAUAAUUUUAGUAGUCCUUUCAUUUCUACAAUCUAUGACCUGAUGAAUAUGGAUUGCUGAGGCAUCUGAAGGAUUUAUAUAGAGCAAUAAUAUCUCUGAACCUUGAACCUGCUUACUCUUUAUAAUGUUAAAUUUAUAAGAUUAUCAUUAUUCUAUUACAGAUUUUGUAUUCUUUUA